rnacentral:lncRNA from 1 species
CUUAUCCUGUUUAUGUAUUGCUGUAUAGUUUGUGGUACAUAAAAAUGGAGAAUUUGAUGAAAAAUGAGAAGAAGCCUUUCACCUAGAUCCCAUGUGAAUUAACCCACAUCUAAUAACUUUCCUUAAUUUUUAAUAAAUGUACUGAAGCAAUAGUACUAGUAACUACCAUGAAGCAAUGGUAGCUGUGUCUAAUAGAGUUUUAAUAUUCAC